AUUGAACGCUGGCGGCAGGCCUAAUACAUGCAAGUCGAACGAGUGGCGGACGGGUGAGCAAUGUCUGGGAAACUGCCUGAUGGAGGGGGAUAACUACGGGAAACGGUAGCUAAUACCGCAUACCAUCGGUUGUGGCCAGAUGGGAUUAGCUAGUAGGUGGGGUAAAGGCUCACCAAGGCGACGAUGCCUAGCUGGUCUGAGAGGCUGACCAGCCACACUGGAACUGAGACACGGCCCAGACUCCUACGGGAGGCAGCAGUGGGGAAUAUUGGGCAAUGGGCGCAAGCCUGAGCGAGCAAUGCCGCGUGUAUGAAGAAGGCCUUCGGGUUGUAAAGUACUUUCGGCAGGGAGGCGGUACCCACAGAAGAAGCACCGGCUAACUCCGUGCCAGCAGCCGCGGUAAUAC
rnacentral:rRNA from 1 species